GACUGGGACAUGAUAUUGUGUGCGUUCCUGAUCCAGAUCACGUACACACACCGGUACAAAACGAAAGCGGACGUACGGCAAGCAGCGCGGACAUGUGACAUCGUGAAUUUUGGGUACGUUCCUGGUAUUUAACUUUGCACAACUCAACCAAUUUUACAAAAUAUCAACUUGAAACUCUGUUCUUAAGUGUAUUAUUGCUACAGCGUCUUGUCAUUUGUUGAUAACGUGCAGCAGUGCACUCUGGGAGAUUGAUUAUAGCCUCAUACGGAAACAUGUAUUUCGAUUGGGAAUUAAAUAACUUCUCAGGAUCUACAGAGGAGGUAACCGCCAAACAAGUCUUGAGAUCGAUUAUCACUCAAAUUCAUUUUCCUGCGCCCACAUUUGUAAACUUGGUUAUAAAAGACAGUAAUGCUGCCGAGGGGACACCUUUCUCUGAAGCAUCGGUCUAUCUUCAGCUAAGCCAUGAAAGUCGAGAGGCAUUUAGAACAAGAUAUCAGAAUGGAUAUCCGAAGUGCGGAAUGGUUUACAUGAAAGACAUCCUAGAUAAGUCUCUUCUUCAUGAAUUCGUAGAACAUGGUGUUGCUGCCGUCACGAAACAAGCUGACUAUGCUAAUGGGGAAGCAUUCUUGACAUUGUUGAGAUUCCUGAAAGAGCAAGGAAAUCAUGAAUGCGCGUUGCAUGAACUUUUCACAGUCAUUCUUUCAAAAAGUGGAAAUAAAGAGAGUGUUAUUUUGGCUGGAUUGGCAUAACACCUGUUUUCCCAGUUGGCACCAGGCAAGAGAUAUGCAGUUGAUAGAUACGCAAAGCAGCUUCCAGACAUAUGUGGUUGUAGGUGUAAAGCUGCUAUUAGUAAAGGGAACACUUCAGUAGGAUCACAAACAACAUGGCAUGGCAGAUUAGAUAUCCUCCUGGAUGAUACAAUCGCUGUGGCAGUUCAUGGGAAGAAAGAAGGUGCCAAGGAGGCGGAACAAAGAAAGGGAGAAUCUGAAUCUAAAAGUUGUAAUAUUUCUGAAGAAGUUAAAACCACCAACAAACAUGAAGGUUCUCUCCUGGAUUCCCGGGUUUUGAAGCAGAUCUUGGCAGAAGCUAUCACAAAUGGAUUUGCUCAAGUUAAUCGCAUAGGGCAUAAACAUUCACAAUUUUGUAUUCCAACUUUUGGAGCCACUCCAGAACAUGUUACUGUUUGUUUGUAGGACUCUGAGAACGACUGCUUACUACACAUCAAGGAACAGCUGGAUUUAUGGUGUCCAGAUGAGAUGGUAUGCUAUAGUCAGCUAAAUGUCACUACCAUAGUCAUCAUUUGGCUUUUUAUCAAUUUCACUCUUUUUACUCAAAAGAAUCUGUGUAGUGUCCUGGGCCUUGACAAGACAGGAUUGCAUGAUGAGUUAAAAGAAUGCCUGAAGUAUUAUAGAAAAUGCAACAGUAGGAGGGAAUUUCGACUCACCAACUCCUGUUGUACCUCCAUGGAAAUAUGUGACCCCAGUCCCUAAAACCCGAAACACCCAAGACUGAAGUAUUCCCAAAUAUUGUGCAUCUAUUAUACUUACAUAAAUGUAUAUCUUGUUCACAUUAUAUAUACAUAUGUAAUAGUAUAUAAGUAGUUUGCAUUGCCAGCAGUAAUGAAAACUAUCAGAACACUUGUGAAAUGUGAUUUGUAAAGAAUUUGAUACAUGUUUUUAACGACAUGAAAAUGUGCUGUGUUGCAUUUUGAUCAGAAAAAUAUUAUUUCAUUUCCAUGUCUGUAUUCAUUUUGAUACAAUAUUUCUCUUUUGCAUUGGAUUGCCAUUUAUAUUGUUCCCAACAUGGUUCUAUGGUCACUUUACAUAUAUUAUUAGUUUCGUACUGGUGAAACCAGGACUAUAGGUUUCCUCCCCGUCCGUCCACUCAGUUUUCCACUGUUUUCUCAGUCAUGCUUCAAGGUAUGUUAGGAACAUUGGUAUGUUACUUCAGUAUGAGUAGGUACAGAUCAAGUUUGACUUUCGUUCGACUUCACUAAUUUUUACAAGAGUUAUGGCCCUUACCUUGAUCCACGAUUGUUUUCUGCACUUUUUUUAUUGACCACCUGAACCUUGCACAGGCACUUGUUGAUAUUCCAGUCCAAUUGUAGAUAAAUGAACAUGGCUAUUGUUUUGUAAUAUGUCUAUUUGUUGCUUCUAUUCGCAAACAGUCUUGAGUUAUUGAUAACUUGUUUGUUAAUUUCUUUUUAUUUGUAAAUAGUACCUAUGACUGAUAGAAUAAAUAAUGAUAUUUUG